GCCGAUAUAGCUCAGCGGUAGAGCACUUCCAUGGUAAGGAAGGGGUCGUCGGUUCAAGUCCGACUAUCGGCU
rnacentral:tRNA from 1 species